GAUGAACGCUGGCGGCGUGCCUAAUACAUGCAAGUCGAGCGAACGGACGAGAAGCUUGCUUUUCUGAUGUUAGUGGCGGACGGGUGAGUAACACGUGGAUAACCUACCUAUAAGACUGGGAUAACUUCGGGAAACCGGAGCUAAUACCGGAUAAUAUUUUGAACCGCAUGGUUCAAAAGUGAAAGACGGUCUUGCUGUCACUUAUAGAUGGAUCCGCGCUGCAUUAGCUAGUUGGUAAGGUAACGGCUUACCAAGGCAACGAUGCAUAGCCGACCUGAGAGGGUGAUCGGCCACACUGGAACUGAGACACGGUCCAGACUCCUACGGGAGGCAGCAGUAGGGAAUCUUCCGCAAUGGGCGAAAGCCUGACGGAGCAACGCCGCGUGAGUGAUGAAGGUCUUCGGAUCGUAAAACUCUGUUAUUAGGGAAGAACAUAUGUGUAAGUAACUGUGCACAUCUUGACGGUACCUAAUCAGAAAGCCACGGCUAACUACGUG
rnacentral:rRNA from 1 species